UCUUCCUGCAAGCGCUGGAGGUGCAUGACACCUUUGUACCUCACGUCAUAACAGCAUGCACCAUCCUCCACAACAUCUGCCUUGGUGCUGGGGAUGUCAUGGCCCCAGAGGAGGCUGUAGAAGAGGAUGAGGUCGGGACUGAGACAUUCAGCAUUGCUCUCUGGCAGGACCAGCUUUCAGCUGAGGUGUCUGCCCUGGAGGAGUGAUGUGGCAGCCGUCAAUCCAGCCAGCCCUUUAAACCCACUUGAUGGACGAUGACGUGG